UAAAAGUUGAGGUGGGAGGUGGGAUCCUGUCUGAUCCUUUUUCAUAUUCCUUUGUCAUAUGAAGACUACUCUGCUGUUUCAUAUAAAGAGAGAGAGAGAGAGAGAGAGAGAGAGAGAGAGAGAGAGAGAGAGAGAGAGAGAGAGAGAGAGAGAGAGGGAGCGAGAGAGAGAGAGAGAGAGAGAGAGAGAGAGAGAGAGAGAGAGGGAGCGAGAGGAGUUCAGCUUCAGCAGCAACAGAGUACGCUAAAAAACUUGCAACUAUGUGAAUGGGACAAAAAGCAAAGGGAACAAAGCAUGUAGGGCCCAGCUGAAUCCUGCAUCCUCAGACUGAAUCAGAGAAAGCAGGUCAGUGUGAUGAACAGCAUGCUUCCUCAGAGGAGUGCUGUCACCACACUGGGCUACAGCUCAGACUGUGUGAAGAUUGAGCACAGCGGCAGUGGCUCAGUGGGUGGGACAUUGCUGAGGGGCUCCCGCUCUAAAGCAGAGCUACAGGACCUGAUGGAGACACUGCAGCGCAGGAAGAGUGCUCUGGAGGCCAGCUUGAGGGCAGCCGAGUGCAGCCGCACGUACCUCAGCGUGCCCUCACCUGUUGGAUCCCAGUCCGCAAGGCCACCGUCAAUCCUCAGCAAUACCGAACGGCCCCCGUCUGCCUCCAGAACGUUUUCCUACAUGACCAGCAGCAGCAGCGUGCCUCCAUCACCUCGACAAGGUGAACGCCAGCUGAGCCCUAACGGCUUGCAUCGUCAUUCCCACUCUCGCCACCAGUCACAAGACAGUCUGCUCCUCUCUUACGCAGCAGAUGGAAGCUCUCUGCUCUCUUCCUAUGGGCAGCCCCUACCUCGUUCUCCCAGGGUCAAAAGUGGAGCAGCCAGCGUGCCGUCCAGUCCUCGCAUGGGCCGCAGGCUCUACUCUCAGGGCAAAGCUGGACAAGACUCCCGGCAGAGGAAAUACUCCACUGGCUCCCUCCACAGCCUGGGGACGCAUAGCCGUUCUCUGCCACGUCUUCACAACGCAGCAGAGCCCCCUGCACUGUCGCUACCAUCACGACACUCAGUGGGUUCCCACAGAGGAGUGGGCUCAGCAGGGCAGCGGCGCAGUCUCUCCUCCCUCGAGCAGCCACCAGAUGUGACAGUACCAGCCAGCAUGCCCAGCACUCCCAGGAGAGCCAGCCUGGUCUCUCUGAGCUCUCUGGGUGUAGAGAUAGACGGGACAGGCUUAGAUCUGGGCUUCGGAGAGAGGAGGUUAUCCUUUGGGAAGGGUGGGCUGGGUCCAGGACAAAGGGUGGGCAGCAUCAGCUCCUUGAAUGGCAAAGAGGAGCUUAGAGACUAUCACCAGCACCAGAGAGAUGAACGACUCAGGGAGCAGAAAGUGCAGAGAUUGGAGUGCCAGCGUCUCGAGACCAUCUUAAACCUGUGCACUGAGUUUGGCCAUGUGGAGAGAGAGCCGGCGGGCUCAGCUGUUUCUGACCUGCAGAAGAUCAAUAAGGAAUUGGAGAAGCUGCAGGUGUCAGAGGAUGAGUCAGUGUUCUCUGACUCUCCCAGCAGCGCUGCUCCAGAGAGCUGCUUUGGAGCCAAAGCCAGAGACUUCCAACUCGCUGAGGAUCAGCAGGUCAGCCAGCGUCAGCAGAGCGGCUACAGAGAGGCCAGGUCCCACUCACCUGCUAUCAGCCUGAACAGCAGUGCCCCCUCACCAUCGACCCACCACAGAGCCAAAGCCUUUGAGAGAGUGCAGCUGAAACAGGAAGUAACGCAUAUAGAGGAAGAGAGGAUUCAAGUUCUGAACAACAUAGAGGAGCUGGAGCAGAAGAUCAAAGACCUGGACAACCAGAUGGAGGAGUCUGUCCGAGAGAUGGAGGUGGAGUGUGCUUUGCUGGAGGGGGAACAGGAGUCAGAGAUGACCCAGCUGCAGAGGGAAAAGGAGCUUCUGGACAAACUUAAGAAAAAUAUGCAUAGUAUUGCGAAGACGAGCCACACUGAGAAGUCACAGGAGGCUGAGGAGCAGACAAAAAGUUUGGAGGAUUUGGAGUUUCAGAAGCUGGAGAAAGAAAUGAAUCAGGAUGAGGAUAAAGAAAGUGAGAGCCAAGAGCUGCUGCGAGAGAUUGCCGAGUGUCAGCGUCUUACAGUCACACGCAAGGAAAGACUCACAACGCUGAAGAAACAGUCCUCACAGAUUACGUUACAGGCUCAGCAAGAAAGAGAGAAUUUCCAGAGAGAGAAAAACAAUUUGCUCAUCAUGCUUCAGAAGGAGAGAGAGAAACUGGCAUCUUUGGAAGGAAAGUAUGCAGAGUUAUCUGAGGGGCAGACCUUCACCAACAACCCUGCAGCCAUCAAAGAGGUAGGUAACUCUCUGAAGGAAAGGAGAAGAAGCAGCAAAGAAAACUCUUCCCACCCAAUUGACAGCCUACCUCAUAAGAGGAGCCAGCAGCUCCUCACAUCUUACGGCAGAUCCCUGGGACGCACGCUUCCUCCAAAGCCCCACUUGCCUCUGUCCCAAAGCUCGAGCUGUGGCAGCGUCAUCUCACAAGGCUUCAGCUUCUCCCCCAGGGACCUGAGCACCCGUCGCCUGUCCAAAACAGGCAACAGCCGUGCACACAUGAAUGAUGACAGACAGAGAAGAAGUGAUUUUUGCAGCAGGAUGAUCUCUGAGCCCAGCGUGUUCUUGGACUCCUUCUCCUACCCGGACAACAGCCAGGCCUCAGAUACUGUCAGUGUGGACAGCUCUGACAGCCUGGAGACCAGCUUCUCCGCCUGCUCCCCAGACAAUAUCUCCAGUGCCAGUACGUCCAAUAUGGCAAAGAUCGAGGAGAUGGAGCGUUUACUUCGAGAGGCCCAGGCUGAGAAGCAUAAGCUCCUCGAGAAUCGGGAGCGUGAGAUGGAGAUGCGCAGGCAUGCUCUGGAAGAGGAGCGGAGAAGAAGGGAGGAACUGGAGAAGCGACUGCAGGAGGAGACAAGCCGAAGACAAAAACUUGUAGAAAGAGAGGUGAAGCUCAGGGAGAAACAAAGAUCACAGUCCCGGCUGUUGACUCGCUACCUCCCUGUAAGGAAAGACGACUUUGAUCUUCACGGCCAUAUUGAGGCAGCUGGACACAACCCAGACGCCUGCUUCCAUCUGGCCAUCACUGAUAAAACCUGUCGAGGCUUUCUGGUCAAAAUGGGCGGCAAGAUCAAGACCUGGAAGAAACGUUGGUUUGUCUUUGACCAGAAUCGCAGGACGCUCACCUACUAUGCAGACAAACAUGAGACCAAGAUGAAAGGAGUCAUUUACUUCCAAGCCAUAGAGGAAGUGUACUAUGACCAUUUAAAGAGCGCACACAAAAGCCCCAACCCCUCGCUGACGUUCAGUGUGAAGACCCACGAUCGGGUGUACUACAUGGUGGCUCCGUCGCCUGAGGCCAUGCGUAUAUGGAUGGAUGUUAUGGUUACGGGUGCAGAAGGACACAUGCAUUUCAUGGUGUAACUGAUCCCAACAGGUCAGGGUCCACACCACUAAAUUCCAUUAGUAAACGUUGUGUCACAUGAGAAGUUUUGCAGCACUUUGCUUUAAUUGAUUUACAGGUUUUAUAAUUAAGCUGUUUAGUUAUUUCUUUAGUUGUUUAUGUACCGUGGUCCGUGAGAGGCUGAAGCGUCACUAAAUCUUGCACCAGUUUAGUAGUUGCAUUGUCCAACUUUAUCCUUCCUUAAACAAAAUCUCUGCCGUCUCAUAUUUCAGUCAACACUUGAUCAGGGAAGCUUCUCAAUGAUUAGAGAGAUCUGCAACAUUUCUAAACUGCGGUACAUACUGAUGCUGCUUGUCUAUAAUAGAUAGCAUAUCUACCAAACAGCUUUCUAUAACCUAGCCUUUCGUAAUAUAUGUAGCCGCCAUGUACAAAUCAGAGUUUAAGUUCUAGGUCCACCUCUGUUUCCUAGCCCUCUUCUUCUACCCUCCUCUUUACUUCUGGUUGGACGUCAGGCUGUAUCAGUGGGUGACAACUUCUUCUUUUCCCAGAUAAGAUAAUCCCUUCUGUACUUGUGUUUGCAAGAAUGCACAUUUUUAUUUCAACUCAGAUUUAUUAUUUCUAUAUUGUCACUAAUAUUCAAAUGUAAUUAGUGUGAGUAUUAUUUUACAUGUUUAACUCAAGCAUUUUAUUGCUGCUGCCAGAUGAUAAGCAUAAGCUUGUCUUGUCUGCUUAUUUAAAGCAGGGCUGAAUAUCCACCAUCAGUUUUCCUUCAAACCACAUACAUGUCUCUUUGCAUCAUUUUCAUUCCAAUGAGUCUUAAUUUGGGCUUUUUCUUCACAUAUGCAAACUUCAGUCAUGAAGGAGAGAUGAUUACAGGCACUUUUCAGGUUUUAUUGUUAUGAAUUAUUAGUAAUUGUUGGCAAAUAUUCUAAUCAUAAAAGUAGAAAAUCUGACCAAAUCACAAUGGUACUGGGUGUCAUGCCUAACACUGUGCAGCUAGCUCCCUCUAUCUAUAGUAGAGGCUGCAGGCCUGAUAUGAUGAGGCCAUGUUGUGCAGCAGGGAUACUAUACUGUAUGUACUGCGUCACCCGCAUUUCAUUCGUUUGUUCACCAGCAGAGGUCCUCAGUGCAGAGUUAUUGCGCUGAAAUGCCGUAAUGCCCCUGCUUCAGGUCCAUACUCCUCAAUGAUCCAUGUUUUCUAAUGCUUAUAUAUCAAAUAUGUGCAUGUAUAAGCACAUGCAUAUCAAGCUUCAGAUUUGUUUUUUAGAAGCUAAACAAAAGUCAUGUUCAGGAUCUUGAGCACAAAAUGAUUUUUUUCUAAUUUUGUUUUGAAUGUUUUAUAAAAUACAUAUGUUUGAUCUGUAUUUAUUUUUUUUUACUAUUUGCAACAGUCAGACGGUAUUUGGUAAUUAAAGACCACCAUAACACCAAGCUGUUGGUUUACAGACUGCAGAGUGCAGGUGAGGCUGCAGAGCUGACAGUGUUGCAGAUAAGUUGUUGCCUUUCCUGGAUGCUUCUUAGUAAACGGAGGUAUCUGUCAUGUAAACAUCUGAUCUGAAAACUGUAAUCCACUGUAUGAGACACAAGCCUUGAAACUAAACUAAAAAUUACUGCAUUUAUAUAUAUAUAUAUAUAUAUAUAUAUAUAUAUAUAUA